rnacentral:rRNA from 1 species
UGGCGCACGGGUGCGUAACGCGUAACCAACCUACCCGAAUCUGGGGGAUAGCCCGCCGAAAGGCGGAUUAAUACCGCAUAAAACCACAGGGUGGCAUCACCUAAUGGUUAAAGAUUUAUUGGAUUCGGAUGGGGUUGCGUGCCAUUAGCUAGUUGGGGGGGUAACGGCCCACCAAGGCGACGAUGGCUAGGGGAGCUGAGAGGCUGGCCCCCCACACGGGCACUGAGAUACGGGCCCGACUCCUACGGGAGGCAGCAGUAGGGAAUAUUGGGCAAUGGCCGAGAGGCUGACCCAGCCAUGCCGCGUGCAGGAUGAAGGCUUUCUGAGUCGUAAACUGCUUUUGUACGGAACGAAAAGGUCUGCCCUAAUACGGUGGGCCCAUGACGGUACCGUAAGAAUAAGCACCGGCUAACUACGUGCCAGCAGCCGCGGUAAUACGUAGGGUGCGAGCGUUAAUCGGAAUUACUGGGCGUAAAGCGUGCGCAGGCGGUGAUGUAAGACAGUUGUGAAAUCCCCGGGCUCAACCUGGGAAUUGCAUCUGUGAC